rnacentral:rRNA from 1 species
GGUAACCUGCCUCAUACAGGGGGAUAACAGUUAGAAAUGACUGCUAAAACCGCAUAAGCGCACAUUGUCGAGUGACAGAGUGUGAAAAACUCCGGUGGUAUGAGAUGGACCCGCGUCUGAUUAGCUAGUUGGUGAGGUAACGGCCCACCAAGGCGACGAUCAGUAGCCGGCCUGAGAGGGCGACCGGCCACAUUGGGACUGAGACACGGCCCAAACUCCUACGGGAGGCAGCAGUGGGGAAUAUUGCACAAUGGGGGAAACCCUGAUGCAGCGACGCCGCGUGAGUGAAGAAGUAUUUCGGUAUGUAAAGCUCUAUCAGCAGGGAAGAAAAAAGACGGUACCUGACUAAGAAGCCCCGGCUAACUACGUGCCAGCAGCCGCGGUAAUACGUAGGGGGCAAGCGUUAUCCGGAUUUACUGGGUGUAAAGGGAGCGUAGACGGCUGUGCAAGUCUGAAGUGAAAGCCCAGGGCUCAACCCUGGGACUGCUUUGGAAACUGUGGAGCUAGAGUGCUGGAGAGGUAAGUGGAAUUCCUAGUGUAGCGGUGAAAUGCGUAGAUAUUAGGAGGAACACCAGUGGCGAAGGCGGCUUACUGGACAGUAACUGACGUUGAGGCUCGAAAGCGUGGGGAGCAAACA